rnacentral:tRNA from 1 species
AGCAUAGUCAGCUAAUUAAGCUUCUGGGCCCAUACCCCAAAAAUGUUGGCUAAGCCCAACUUAUGCUA